GAUGAAGAACGUAGUGAAAUGCGAUAAGUAGUGUGAAUUGCAGAAUUCAGUGAAUCAUCGAAUCUUUGAACGCACAUUGCGCCCUUUGGUAUUCCAAAGGGCAUGCCUGUUCGAGCGUCAUUUGUACCCUCAAGCUUUGCUUGGUGUUGGGCGUCUUGUCUCUAGCUUUGCUGGAGACUCGCCUUAAAGUAAUUGGCAGCCGGCCUACUGGUUUCGGAGCGCAGCACAAGUCGCACUCUCUAUCAGCAAAGGUCUAGCAGCCAUUAAGCCUUUUUUUCAACUUUUGACCUCGGAUCAGGUAGGGAUACCCGCUGAACUUAAGCAUAUCAAUAAGCGGAGGA
rnacentral:misc_RNA from 1 species